CACGUAGGGCGCAAGCGUUGUCCGGAAUUAUUGGGCGUAAAGAGCGUGUAGGCGGCCAGGUAGGUCCGUUGUGAAAACUCGAGGCUCAACCUCGAGACGUCGGCGGAAACCCUCUGGCUAGAGUCCGGAAGAGGAGAGUGGAAUUCCUGGUGUAGCGGUGAAAUGCGCAGAUAUCAGGAAGAACACCCGUGGCGAAGGCGGCUCUCUGGGACGGUACUGACGCUGAGACGCGAAAGCGUGGGGAGCAAACGGG
rnacentral:rRNA from 1 species